AACUCUCGACAACGGAUAUCUUGGCUCUCGCAUCGAUGAAGAACGCAGCGAAAUGCGAUAUGUCGUGUGAAUUGCAGAAUCCCGUGAACCAUUGAGUUUUUGAACGCAAGUUGCGCUCGAGGCUGUUAGCCGAGGGCGUGCCUGCCUGGGCGUCUUUUGAUCCUUUGCUCUGCCCC
rnacentral:rRNA from 1 species